rnacentral:rRNA from 1 species
UACCCUUGACAAUGUACGGAAGUCUGCUGAGAAGGUGGAAUGUGCCUGAAA